GACGAACGCUGGCGGCGUGCUUAACACAUGCAAGUCGAACGGAAAGGCGCUGCUUUUGUGGGGUUCUCGAGUGCCGAACGCGUGUGUGACACGUGAGUAACCUGCCCCUGACUUUGGGAUAACUUCAGGAAACUGGGGCUCAUACCCGAUAUGAUCUCCUGCUGCAUGGUGGUGGAUGGAAAGAUUCGGCGGUUGUGGAUGGACUCGCGGCUUAUCAGCUUGUUGGUGGGGUAGUGGCUUUCCAGGGCUUUGACGGGUAGCCGGCAUGAGCGGGUAACCAGCCACAUUGGGACUGCGAUACGGACCAGACGGCUACGUGACGCAGCAGGGGGGAAUAUUGCACAGCGGGCGGGAGUCUGAUGCAACAACGCCGCGUGCGGGAUAACGGCCUACGGGUUGUAAACCGCUGUCGCCUGUGACGAAGCGUGCGUGACGGUAAUGGGUAAAGAAGCACCGGCUAACUACGUG
rnacentral:rRNA from 1 species